GUUUUUCCACUUUAAACAUUUUCAAAUAUAAUCUGUUAAAUUUGUAGAUUGGGAAGCACGAAUUGACAGCCAUGGAAGGAUAUUCUAUGUAGAUCAUGUAAAUCGGACAACAACAUGGCAGCGGCCCUCAGCUCCACCAGCACCCCAGAUCCUCCAGAGAUCAAACUCUAUCCAACAGAUGGAGCAACUUAACCGAAGGUGAGAAUUUUGGUAAAAAAUAUCUAAGUUAGUAGAAUGUGUUUCCAGAGGCGUAACUAGAAACCCCGGGGCUCCGGUGAGAAAAUUGCCCUGGGGCCCCCAACCCCCUCAAUGUGUCUCAUUUCCCCAUGUUUCUCAUUCCCUCCCCACAGCCCCUCCAUAUGUCUCAUCCCCCAAGUGUCUUAUUUUCUCCCCCCCAUGUGUAACAUUCCUUCCCCCCAAGACGCUUAACAUUUCUCAUUCCCCCAAAGCCGCUUAAUGUGUCUCAUUCCCCCCAGUCACCUCAAUGUGUCUUUCUCCCCCUCCACUCUUACCCCUCCAUAUGUCUCCUCUCACCAAGAUGUUGCAGGAGUCAGAUACAUUGCCGCAUGACUGCUGAACAGCACUUCCACAUUUAUAAAUAGGCAACUACUGCAAAUAUAAGGUGAGGCUGAACAUGUUACAUUGACAUGGUCACUGUCUCACUGCUAUAAUACCUGUUAAUGCUUUUACCAUCGUCAGCUCAUUGAAAAAGGGUCAUAUACCUAUGUUAAACAAUCAAGUUUAAAGGGACACACCAAACCACUAAAGCACUUUAGCUUGUUGAAAUUAUUUGUGUUAAGAGUGUGUCCUCUUUUUUUCAUUUUACAAAAAGUUACCUUUACAAUAAAAAUUGGCACUUUUAUAAAUGAACAUUGUUCAAGCAAACAGGUCCCGAUACUACCUGGUUUGUUUAGCUCCAUAGAGCUAAACUCAAAAGGCAUGCAAUUGUCCAGAGCACCUUACUUGCAAAGACUGAUCCCUAAGUUGCAUUGGGAAGUCCUAAUUGGACAGCCACAGAUAGUCUUGGCAGGUGAAGAAUGGGAGGUCUUGCAAAAGUAAUGCCAUAAUAAAUUUUGGGACCCCGCAUGCCCUGAGCCCCUUGGUCCCUCUCCCAAUUCCACCAACUCUGCCACAUCAGGACGGGGGAGCAGUGCUAUAAGCCUCGGGAGAAAGGCAAGAAGGAUCCAGAACCCUAUUGGACCCAAUCCUAUAUACUGGAGAUUCUUUCAGUCUGCAACUUGCCUCUGACGAAGGUGAACACUAUGUUACACCGAAACGUGCGUCAGUUGUGUUGUCCUUUUCGCACAUUUAUUAUAUCACUGUGCACUUUAUUUGCACCACUAUGCACGUUUAAAUUUAUUUGUUUAUAACUUAAUUUUCUCUGCCUACUCAGUUUUAAAGGAAGAGAGGCAUCUUUGCAUAUCUCUACCUAAUGCUAUACUUUUCUAUUGAUCCUCAUGGAGGCUGAGCCUAUUUACAGUUUAGUGUUUUAAUUCUAUAUGCAGUAGCCUUUUUGCACAUUUUUGUGUUUGUUGUUUCCAAGCCACCUAAGGCUAUAUAUAUGAGACAUUUAUUUUGUAUCCCUUAUCACUGUUCAACUUGAAAACUAAAUGAUGGUUACUUUAACUGCUACUGGUAUAUCAUGUUUAUUUAGGAUACUUGCCUGCUAUCUCCCUUUUGCUGACUCGCUUAUAUAUGCUAACCAGUAUAUAAUAUUAAUAAUAAUAAUAUAGGAGGAGCUAGUUUGCAAACACUUUAAUAAAUCCCUUUUUCUACUCCUCCUCUUUCAUUGAUAUCUAGGAGUUUAAGCGAUUACUAGACAGAUCAGUAAUGCCUUUUUUUCUUUUUUUAAAUUUAUAAUUUUUCAUGACCAUGUAUUUUACUAGUAGGGCACAGAUAGUCUCGGUAGGUGAAGAAUGGGAGGUCUUGCAAAAGUAAUGCCAUCAGAAAUUUUGGGACCCCUUACACAGCUCAAGGCGUGAGCCCCUUUGUCCCUCUCCCAAUUCCACCAACUCUGCCAUAUCAGGAAGGGAGAGCAGGGUAACGGGCCUCAAGAGAAAGGCAAGAGGAAUUCAGAACCCAAAUCUUGAAAGUGGCACUGAAAGAAGAAUUGCAAGCAUGGUUCCUAACUACACCCGUAGCGCUUCAGCCCCCAGAUGCUGCAGCUUGACUGGGGUCUGUCUGGCGUUUCCCACCCUGGAACAGGGUCCUGUGCUACAACUCUCCUUCAGAUGCAUAGCUGUUUAGCUGUCUUACGCAAACACUUGCCGAGACUUAGUGAAGGGUGAAUAAGAACUGUUUUUAUUGAACCCAACACAGGUGUGUGUAUAUAUAUAUAUAUAUAUAUAUAUAUAUAUAUAUAUCAGAAAAUGUAAUCCAGGGAGCACACUGGGUCUUAAAGUUAGUGUAGAAAAAAAUUUAAUGUAUCAUAAAAAAUACAUCAGCUGUGAGAUACACACCGACCGGUUUGCACCUGGGCAUUUAUACAAUUUAUGCAUGGAGGAGGAGUGCCUUGCUUUAUUUAUUGUUUUUAUAUAUAUAAGCCUUAUAUAACCAUAUGUAUAUACUUUUUUUGAUUAAUUAAUCUAUUAACAUUAAUCUCUAAUCAUUGGGGUUAUUUAAUAUAAACAUUCAUAUUAAUUAUAGUGGGUCACAACAUGUUCACAUUUGCACUGUGGCACUUUAAAUAUUAUGCACCUAUAUGGCACUUUAAGAGAUAAUUUCGAUGCACUUUAAAUGACCCCUUUGCACUUUAUUAAUAUACAUAGAUCACAUUCACAUUUGGCUUAACCAUAUUUGGUAUGUCAAUGUUCCAUAGUAGCCUAGUUGUUUACAACUAGGUUAUCAUUUUUUGAUAAGCUUGUUUCCAUAUUGAUGUGUUUUCUCAUUCACAGCCGCGUUACUAUGGUAACGACGGCGGCGCACACAUGAUGUCACAUUGGGGGCGGAACCUCUCCGCAUCACUGCACAGUCCCGGUUCAGAUGCCGGCUUCAAUAUAGUAUACGCUGGCUGCGUCACUAUAGCAACGGCGUCGUCACACGUUACGCCGGGGGGAGGGGCUACUCGGCACAUGCGCACAUUCCCGACCGGGACGCCGGUUGUCUUAUGGCACCUGUGGUGAGUUAUUGUAAUUUACUGCAUCCUAUAUAUGGUUGAAUUGUUAUGUUAUGUUUCUAUGAUCCUGAUGAAAGUCCUUGAAUAGGACUGAAACGUCGAUUUUUUUUUUAGGAGUACACAAUAAAAGCUAUGUUUUAAGAAUCCGUGAGUGCAACCUUUGAUUCAGCUAUUUGGAUAUUUGGAGCCCUGGGAGUGCACCCGGUCUGGAUACAUGGAGUUUGAGUGCAAGGUACAGUGCUUUUUUCUUUAUAUGUAGGGGUGUGGGCUCAUUUCACCCCAACCUAUGCACCAACCGAUAUUUGAAAAAUUUAAAAAAAAAAUUUGUAUUUAUAUAUUGCUGUAUUGAGAAUUCCAGCAAUUUAAAGCCACAGUAGCCAAUUUCAUACAAUUUAUUCAGCAAGCUUUCUUCAUUAUGGAUGAAUUUUUGGUACAGGCGGGGGCAUAUUCAGAACAGGCAGAGACAUUGUAUUUCUCCAAAGAAGAAGCGGAUGACAUACUAUGGCAUCAGUCUAGCUCAGAACUUCCAUAUCAGCUUACUACAAAAGAUAUAUACUUUAAGCUACUACGCUUACGUAGGAAACAAAUAGAUCUAGACCUACACGGCCUUUUCCUUUCGGAUUACUACAGAGUUAAACGGAUCCCUAGGGGAUUCAGAAUUUUAAAUGUUCCAACUAUAGGAAGGUCUAAAGCCACGGUGUGCAGAGAAUGGACGCAAGUGUUGAAUAGAGCAUCACUUGACCUAAUGCUCAUUAUUAUUAGAGAUGUGAAGGCAGAUCUGAUGGACACUAACUUAAAAAUCACGGAAUUAGAGACCGAAUAUGCAACAUUAUUGGCUACACCUGAAGGAUUAAAGACCAUACAAAAACUUAAAGAGGAAGUUUUGAAAUAUAAGAUGGAAUUAGUGAGAUUUAAAAAACAGAAAUUUGAGAAAGUCACACAAGACUAUUUGGAACACAGAGUCUAUGGUUGGCUCACUGGCAACAUUAGAGCCAAUAGACCCAGGAAACAACGCAGAAGGAUACAGCGACCUAGGGUCCCAACAGUGGACGUAACCUCAGGAGAGUCAGCCUCUGAUUCAGAUACCAGAAACAUCACGGAAACUUCAAAAGCACUUUUUUUAGCCACAGACGAAGCAGGCACAAUAACCAGGAGCCGGUUCAGGGUCGACGUAGACCAAGAACGAGGCGAGGCCGUAAAGGAAAGAACACCUGUACAGGGGAAACCCCCACGCAGGAGGUAAUCCCUAUAUUCAAUCUCUCUCAAAGGCCCCUUGAUACAACUGAGAUAGAACUCCUUAGUAAAGGCCUUUCAUUUGUGCCUACAUCUAAGGCUGAUGUUUUCAAGUGGAAGAUUGAACUGCAUAAGUUCGGGCGAACUAUGAGAUUGAAAGAAUUUUUCUCAAAUACAGUGGAAUGUAAUACAGCGGAUACAGAUGUUUUUCGGGCUAAAUCCACUUUUGAUCCUAUAUCUAAUAGGGCGUCCAUUAAGACUUUUCUCUCCAUGACCAAUAAAGAAGUUCAAACCCUUAUGCAACGCGAGUGUAAAGUGAAACACAACAUCACAAAACAACAAAGGAAAAUUAUAAAGGGAUUAGCAACAGAUCCAUCAAUAGUCAUCCGUUCGGCUGACAAGGGAGGUGGAAUCGUCAUUAUGGACUACAUGAACUAUGCUAAAGAUCUGAAUGUGCAACUAUCAGAUAGAACCACCUAUAUAUUGUUAGAUGGAGAUCCCACUAUCAAUAUUCAGAAUAAAAUUGAAGAUGUUUUAUCAAUGGGCCUGAGAUCGGGCUAUAUUGACUCCAAAUUACAUCAUUAUCUUAUUAAAGCAUGCCCCCGCACGCCUAUCAUAUAUUCGAUUCCAAAANNNNNNNNNNNNNNNNNNNNNNNNNNNNNNNNNNNNNNNNNNNNNNNNNNNNNNNNNNNNNNNNNNNNNNNNNNNNNNNNNNNNNNNNNNNNNNNNNNNNGUAUCCACUGUUAGCGUGACACACCCGCUUUAAGGACACUGACUGCUAUUGAAUCUAUAACAGUGAAAAAAGUGUUUGUUGUUUUUUAAAUACAAGCUGUGUGUCACCAGAUCUAAGUGGUGGCACUGGUCACCGUAUCCACUGUUAGCGUAACACACCCGCUUUAAGGACACUGACUGCUAUUCAAUCUAUAACAGUGAAAAGUGUUUUUUGUUUUUAAAUACAAGCUUUGUGUCACCAGAUCUAAGUGGUGGCACUGGUCACCGUAUCCACUGUUAGCGUAACACACCCGCUUUAAGGACACUGACUGCUAUUCAAUCUAUAACAGUGAAAAAAGUGUUUUUUGUUUUUAAAUACAAGCUUGUGUCACCAGAUCUAAGUGGUGGCAAUGGUCACCGUAUCCACUGUUAGCGUAACACACCCGCUUUAAGGACACUGUCUGCUAUUCAAUCUAUAACAGUGAAAAAAGUUUUUUUGUUUUUAAAUACAAGCUUUGUGUCACCAGAUCUAAGUGGUGGCACUGGUCACCGUAUCCACUGUUAGCGUAACACACCCGCUUUAAGGACACUGACUGCUAUUCAAUCUAUAACAGUGAAAAAAGUGUUUUGUUUUUUUAAAUGCAAGCUUUGUGUCACCAGAUCUAAGUGGUGGCACUGGUCACCGUAUCCACUGUUAGCGUAACACACCCGCUUUAAGGACACUGACUGCUAUUCAAUCUAUAACAGUGAAAAAAGUUUUUUUUUUUUAAAUCCAAGCUUUGUGUCACCAGAUCUAAGUGGUGGCAAUGGUCACCGUAUCCACUGUUAGCGUAACACACCCGCUUUAAGGACACUGACUGCUAUUCAAUCUAUAACAGUGAAAAAAGUGUUUUUGUUUUUAAAUACAAGCUUUGUGUCACCAGAUCUAAGUGGUGGCACUGGUCACCGUAUCCACUGUUAGCGUAACACACCCGCUUUAAGGACACUGACUGCUAUUCAAUCUAUAACAGUGAAAACAGUGUUUUUUGUUUUUAAAUCCAAGCUUUGUGUCACCAGAUCUAAGUGGUGUCACUGACUGGGGAAAUGGGCACAGUAUGCACUGUGAGCCUGACACAGAAGCUGGCAGCAGUGGCAGACAACUGACUGCUAUUCAAUCUAUAACAGUGAAAAAAGUUUUUUGUUUUUAAAUCCAAGCUAUUGUGACACCAGAUGUAAGUGGUGGCACUGACUGGGGAAAUGGGCACAGUAUGCACUGUGAGCCUGACCCAGAAGCUGGCAGCAGUGGCAGACAACUAAGUGCAAUUACAUUACAUAGAAUUUUUUUAUUUAAAAAAAGCAUACCCUUAUCCCUAACCUAGCUAUGCUUUUCCCUAUCUUAUGAACAUCAGCUACACUUUCCCUCCUCUUACUAAGCAUGCAGCUUGAGAAUUAAUCUAAAAUGGAUGCCUUCCAGGAGGUGGGAGGGUCUGCUAGGGAGGAUGUGCUGCUAAUUGGCUGGAAUGUGUCUGCUGACUGUGAGGUACAGGGUCAAAGUUUACUCACUGAUGACGAAUAGGGGGCGGGUCGAACCGCGCAUAUGUUCGCCCGCCGUGGCGAACGCGAACAUGCUAUUUUCGCCAGGAACCGUUCGCUGGCGAUCCGUUCGGUACAUCACUAUGAUAAAUCUGCAAAUAGAGCAAUGCGUUAGUGGGGGUCCGGAAGUGUGCAAUAUUUUCUUGCUGCUGCCAGUAGUCCUUCUUAUCUUAUCAAAUUAAGACUGUGUUAAAGGGAAUCCAGAGGUGCAGUACCCCACAAACACCUCAGCGAUUACCAAUAAAUGGGAACUUGACAAAGACCUCUUUGAAGGUCGAAAUGUUGCUGCUUUCCUUGCUCCAUUAAAAUCUGCCUGCGGCUUUAACACUUGAGUGCCUGGAUAUUUCUUUUUUGGCUUUACUUGUUGGGAUUGCUGGUCCUGUUCCGGAGCACCGGUGGCUGCUUGGAUUGAGUGCGGUUCUUACAACAAUCUUUGCAACCAUUCGAACCAAAGACCAAUCAAACCUUAAAAGCCGCUAUAUACUUAGCUAUUUUACGGGUUCCUUAGACCCAGGGAGUUCACUACCAUCAACACUUCUGAAUUAAGGUCAUGCCUCAAGAUCUCGCAUAUAUCAGCAAACAAGAAGACCACUAUGUACUCUCUCUGCAACAUACCAAGAUCAGUCAACCAGGUCAAACAGUAAAAGUUCCUUAUUACCCCACAUUUAACUAAUGGUGUCCAGUAAAGACACUAAAUAGAUAUCUACAUAACUUUCAAUCUCCUAAAAAUCAACCUUUACUUACCAUACAGGGGGCCAUUCUCACUGCAAGUAAAUGCAUACUUUACAUUAGAAUCCUAUUAAUGAGACUAGGUCUUAACCCAUUACACUAUUCUGGACACUCCUUCAGGAUAUGUGCGACCUUGGCAGCCUCCCACAGGAACAUCCCUGUAACGGCACCCCCAAGCAACCAGGCUCCUCCAAUGCACAGUGGCGAGAUUGGUCCUGUCACAUCUCUCCCCUUUUCCAAACAGACCUCCUGCCGGUCAGUUCCCUGGUUAGUCCAGCAGCUCACCCACAACACAGCAACAGCAGUACAGCCCACCCACAAUAAAUGGUUACUACACCUGAGUAAGGAAGGAACUUGUCCAUGUCCAGGUGCCUCACCAUGGCUGUGUGGGGGACUGGUAGGCUGCCUUGGUCGGUUGCUGAGUGAUCAGAGACCAGCGGUACUCUGCCCUGGUACCAGCAUUACCAUGGAAGUAGCCUGGUUGGAACCUGUUUGCUGGAGGGGGGGACCGACUGUCUCCCCUUUGGAUACACAGCUCUGCUGCUGGAGGGGGAGACAGACCACCAUGCUGCUGUGGGGUGAGACCGACUGCCUCCCCUUUGGCUAAACAGCCUUGUUGCUGGGGGACAGGACCGACUGUCUCUACCCCCUGUAACUCAGCCUGCCACUGGGGAAAGGAGACUGGGCUCUCUAUUCCCUGCUGUAUCUGCUGCUGGGAGGGAGGACAAGGCUCUCCUCUCCCAAUAAAACACUCUGCUGCUGGGGAACAGGACCGACUGUCUCUGCCACCUGUAACUCAGCCUGCCACUGGGGAAAGGAGACUGGGCUCUCUGUUCCCUGCAAAUCACACUGUUGCUAGGGAAUGGAGACUGGGCUCCCUAUUCCCUGCAUAUCACACUGCCGCUGGGGAAUGGAAACUGGGCUCCCAAUUCCCUGCAGAUUACACUGCCGCUGGGGACUGGAGAUUGGGCUCCCUAUUCCCUGCAGAUCACAACGCCACUGGGGAUCUGAGCCAACCGCCCAGCAUCCCUGUAGCUCACCCUGCCGCUGGGGAGGGAGGAUGCUGCUCUCCUCUCCCUGCAAGGUACACUGCCGCUGGGGAGGGGAGACAAUGCUCUCCACUCCCUGCACGUCACACUGCCACUGGGGAAAGGAGACACUGCUCUCUAUUCCCUGCAAUUCACACUGCCGCUGGGGAUCUGGGCCACCCGCCCAGCAUCCCUGUAGGGCCGGUGGGAAGACCUCAGUCCCAUCUCCGCCUUGGGUUCCUCCCAGUAAAUCUCCACAAUAUCGUCCCAGUUAAAGGAUUCUGGAUCUGGGUCUGUCACUCUGCUUUCCUGUUGUGCCUUCUCAAUGGAGCGGAACAGAUGAUGGUAGUCCUGCUCCAGCUCCAUCUCUCGGGUCACUAUGUGGGCCAGGUCUUGCUCCACUUCGUGAGGGUCAUCCGAGUCGUACAUACUCUCCCUCCACUCAAAGAUGUCACGGAACCGGGUCUGUGCAGAGCUCCCAAAAUCAGGCUCUGAAAAAGCCUCCCAUAAUAAACCAGGGCCAUCAAACUUCUCUCCCUCUGGCAUGUCAUGCUUGGCCGUCUAGGGGGUGUACUGAACUGUACACCACCAGAGCACCUGGUAGGCAUCCUCCAGCCACAGCUCCUGCCAUACCCUGUGCUCCAGUUCCUUUACCCAUUCUUCCAGGGGCUGCUCUCCCAGGAGGGGCAUCCACAGUGCUACUCGUGUCUGCUGUCGCUGCUCUUCACUGGGGAGUCCAUCACCCCGCUGGUGCUAUAUGCCAUUCAGUGCCUAGUACCAGAUGCUUUUACGAACUGCAUCCCGAUCAUCCAUGACACCCUCGUCGUAUAACACUGCUGGUUCCAUUCUGCUGCUGUCAGGGUCGCUGUACUCAGACAUGCGUUGCCCUCAAUUUGUAAAUCCAGCAAAUGGUGUUUCCUUGUAGCUGUCCUCUGGGCUGUGAGAACCAUCCCGUCGCUUGCUACCAAUUGUAACGGCACCCCCAGGGAUAAAAGGGUGUUAAAAGCCUUUUAGUAGAUAUUCCCCUUCCAGAUAUACAGGCAGCUACCAAAGACACAAAUCCGCCGAACAGGAAACCAUAUGAAUGCCGUAAACAGCCGAAUAGGAAAAAACAUAUGAAUAGGUUUACACUCCUAGCAGUCAAACUGGAACAGCAUACAAUAAAUCCCCCCAAGAACGAGACAAGGCUCCGUCUUGAGGGUCAAGCAGGAACAGACUGAGCUGUGUCUUUAUUGAAAUUAUAUACACAUUUUACAGACAAAGUCCCACCCACAGGGUUUUGUGGAACAUCCAAUCAAAACAUACAACACAGAUAAACACUCCCACAAUGGCAUCACAAUCCCUCCUCUCUAUCGUGGAGAUAAUUGGGAAGUAAUCCAAUUAUCUCCAAGGACAGAGGCAAAACUCUGUUAAGCACAUGGCAUUAAAAAGACAGUAAAAUAUAAUAAAAUACACAAGGUUACAUUUAUUACAUAAAAUACAGACAUGCAACAUAUCCCCAGAUAGCUUAGGUCUGAGCGCACAUUAUUACUGAAUGGCGCUCAGACAACACACUGUUAUACAGUUCAAUUGCCAUGGAGCCAAAGUCUUUUAUUACACAAAUAGGCUCCAUGGCAUAGCUAUCUGGGUUAAAUGAGUUAAUUCAGUAAAUCUGUGAAUGAACCUGCCGCGUGUGAACUGCAGACUGCUGCCAUCCAGUGUUCAGUAUGCGUAGCCGUGGCCACCCGGUAUAGUCAAUUAAGCUGCAGUUAACCUCAGCUACUGGGCCGUCAAUUGGCGGCACUCGCCGACUUCUGGACGCCCAAUUAUGGCGCCUGUCAGCUAACCGCGGCUCCUGGGAGGCCAAUAGAUGGCUGUUUGUUCGGUAGAUAGAAUAUACCGAACGCCCCGGCAGAAAUACAUGAAUAGACCUUUCUGCGUAGGAAAAUAACGUAUAAAUAAUGCCGGUCCAUAGUCAAAAGGCAGCAUGCAGGCAACCAGGCUCCUCCAAUGCACAGUGGUGAGAUUGGUCUCGUCACAAUCCCUACCCAUUUUAUAAAGUAAUUGGGGUGCUGGAAAUCUACAGCCUACUGUAGAUACAUUCCUCAACUAGAGAAGGAAAUUAGACAAGCAUUCCAACAUUUGGCAUUUUGAUAUUCUAUGUUGUAGUAAUGUGAUUGUUGAUUGAAUAAAGUAUUUUGGCAAACAUCCUUUUUGCCCACUUUAUUUACAGGUCUACUGAUACAUCAGUUUCAGCACACCACAACCAAAUGUUUUAUACCUCUACAUGUAUCAUAAGGUAUCAAGUACAAGAUAUGGCUUUAUUGCCCUGAGCACAAAUGUAAAAGCAGAGCCUUGAGUUGUGAGAGGGGCUGGUGCUGAUAUAAGAACUCACCUAUCGGCACUAGACUCCUCCUCAGUAUCACUCAGUUUUGUGUCCCUCCCACCACUCCACCCUUUACUUAUUUUAUUCUAAUUACCUUCCUUGGUGGGCCCAAUUUAUUUACAGGUCUACCGAUACAUCGAUUUUGGCACACCAUGACCAAAUGUUGUCUCUACAUGUAUCAUCAGGUAUCAAGUACAAGAUACGGCUUUAUUGCUUUUACGGCUGAGCACAAAUAAAUUAUGUGUGUGUAUAUAUAUAUAUAUAUAUAUAAAACACAUUUAUAAAAAAACAAAUAAAAAUGCUAGCUUUAUCCAGCAUUUGUGACUAAGUGGCUACUUCAAAAGACUAGAAAUACCCCAUUUGGAGUACCCUGGGUUAUCUACAUUUGAAAAUGGUAUGGCAUGAUGGGGUUAUUUCACAUUCCUGGACUACCAUAUGGCCUCAAAAGACAACACGGACCCAGCAAACCAACCUGGCAAACUUAAUUGGACAAGCCCUAUAUUGACCCUGAAACUUUUCAAAACACUAUAAAACCUAUACAUGGGGGUAUUGCUAUACUUGGGAGGCUUUGCUGAACACAAACACAAAUAUGUUUAAAACAGCAAAACUUAUGAUGACGAUGAAAUUAGCAGUGAAAGAGCAUUCUUUUGUGAAAAAAAAAAAAUGCAGAAAAAUAUGAACGCUAACUUUGGCAAGCGUUUGUGGCUACUACAAAAGACUGGACAUACCCUAUUUGAAUACCAUGGGUUGUCUACUUUUACAAAUGGUAUGCUGUGAUGGGGUUAAUUUUCAUUUAUGCUGCUAUACGAUCUCAAAGGCAACAUAGGCCCAGCAAACCAAUCUGGCAAAUUUUAAUGUGCAAACAUGGAAAAGGGGAAAGCCCUAUAUUUGAUCCCUGUAAGUUUGCAAAAACCCAUAAAAUAUGUACAUUGGGGGCACUGUUGUACUCAGGAGUUGUUGCCAAACACAUACUGGAAUGUUCUUUGUCCGUAAUACAUAACAGGAACUGAGAAUCCAUGCCUAAAGUACAAUGUGUGAGAAAAAUAACACAAAAAAGGACUACCCAAAUGUUUGACAAAGACUGGUGAUUAGUGCAUUUGAAAUACCCUUGGGUGUCUAUGUUUCAAAAAUAUAUGGUUUGAUGGGAGUAAAUUACAUUGGCUGGCUUAAAAAAAUGUCCAAAAUAGGACACGGGUGCAUGAUGACCAGCUGUCAAAAUUCUUCGUUGGAAAACUGGAAUGUUCAUCCUCCAAAUAAGGUAUUUUAGCCCCAGAGAACCCGACACACCUGUACAUGGGUGGUAUUACUGUACUCAGGAAAUGUUGCUGAACACAUAUUGGGGUGUUAUUUGGCAUUUUUACAUUGGUUAUUUCUAAACUCAGGACAACAUUUAGAAACUAUUUAGCUCAGGUGUUUUUUGGCAAUGGAGAUGCGUAACAGAUUUUCGGGGUCACAAUUAGAAAAAAGUGUGUGUUCAUUUUAUCAUCAUAUUUUAUAAAAAAAAUUAUAGUAAAUUAUUUGAUAUGAUUAAAAUAAUAGUAUCUUUAGAACGACCAUUUAAUGGCGAGAAAAAUGGUAUAUAAUAGGUGUGGGUACAGUAAAUGAGUAAGAGGAAAAUUACAGCUAAACACAAACACAGGAGAAAUGUAAAAACAGCCCUGGUCCGUAACAGUAAGAAAAUUGAAAAAUGGUCUGGUCACUAGGGGGUUAAUAAAAUAAAAUAAAAUAACAAAUGUGGUAGCGCACACAAUGGUUCUUGUUACCUUCUGGUAUACAAUAUAAAUGCUACCCAUAUGACACAAGACUGAAAAACCAUCACUGUGCAAUAUAUCGAGUGAUACUAUGAAAUAGCAUAGUUAAUUGGAAAACUCACGAUCUUUAGAGACUAGUAUAAGUCUGCUCUGAACUAUGCAGUCAUUACAUCAACUUUUAAAUCUUAUUGAAUAGCUUGGUUCAAAUGCAGGUCCACUGGAGAAUGCAAGAUUUCACAACAAAUAACAUAAGUUUAAGAUAAAAUGUCAGUAGUAAACAACACAGAUAGAAAUGAUAUGAUCCACAACAAAUAUGGUGACCCAAAAUCAUUUAUAGAUUACAUCUACUGAUUUGAACAGUCAGUGAAAUGAAGGAUAUGUUUUAAUUUUUACCUUUUAUAAAAAAUUGUAUACGUCUCUCUUUCACAAAUUCGCAAAUCCCUCUUGUGCAUGCAUGCAUGUCAAGCAUGAAGUCUUGUGCAUUGAUAUAUAUAUAUAUAUAUAUAUAAAUAUAUAUGACCUUGACUCCCUCCAUCCAUUAUUAAACAUAGGUAUCAAAGUAUCCGUAGAACUAUGAUGAACAAUCAGCCAGAGGACGUUGCAAAUCCUAUAGACAGAGCAGCAGUGGGAGAUGAUGUUGAUUACCACCAUUCUAAUGCAG
rnacentral:lncRNA from 1 species